GCCGCCGUGGCCGACGGCCGUCUCGACCAGGCGUACGUCGCCGGCCGGACGACGGGCUUCGAGGAGGCAUGGCGGGUGGCCGCCGCCUGGUGGCCC
rnacentral:tRNA from 1 species